CGCAUAAGCGCACGGUUCCACAUGGAACAGUGUGAAAAACUCCGGUGGUGUGAGAUGGACCCGCGUCUGAUUAGCCAGUUGGCGGGGUAACGGCCCACCAAAGCGACGAUCAGUAGCCGGCCUGAGAGGGUGAACGGCCACAUUGGGACUGAGACACGGCCCAAACUCCUACGGGAGGCAGCAGUGGGGAAUAUUGCACAAUGGGGGAAACCCUGAUGCAGCGACGCCGCGUGAGUGAAGAAGUAUUUCGGUAUGUAAAGCUCUAUCAGCAGGGAAGAAAGUGACGGUACCUGAAUAAGAAGCCCCGGCUAACUACGUGCCAGCAGCCGCGGUAAUACGUAGGGGGCAAGCGUUAUCCGGAUUUACUGGGUGUAAAGGGAGCGUAGACGGCAAGGCAAGUCUGAAGUGAAAGCCCGGUGCUUAACGCCGGGACUGCUUUGGAAACUGUUUGGCUGGAGUGCCGGAGAGGUAAGCGGAAUUCCUAGUGUAGCGGUGAAAUGCGUAGAUAUUAGGAAGAACACCAGUGGCGAAGGCGGCUUACUGGACGGUAACUGACGUUGAGGCUCGAAAGCGUGGGGAGCAAACAAGAUUAGAUACCCUGGUAGUCCACGCCGUAAA
rnacentral:rRNA from 1 species